AAUAUGAAGAAAAUUUGAAAGAAAUUCCCAAUAAAAUAGCAACAAACAAACAACGGGUUAAAUAAAGCAAUAAACAUAAAGUGACAAUAAUUGAGCUAAAAACAUUUGUAAAAUGGAAUAAAUUAAAGAAGAGAAAUUAUAAAAGAAGUGAUUUCAUAACCUAGAAAAAUUAUUUCAAUUGACAAGAAAAGAGAAAAAUGUGGCGACGUCGUCGUGGAUGUAUUUGACAUGGUAGUGUUAGUGGUGGUGGUGCCAAUAUGAGCGAGUGUGUGUGUAUAUGGUUGAAGAAAAUUCGUAAAUGGAAAACUGGGCAAUAAUCAUGAGGGGAGGCUUGCAAAAAAGGAAGAAUCGCUGGUAUGGUGGUGUAUGUUGAUUAUAGACCGGUCUAUUUAUUUAAGUCAUAACAUGUUGGUUUUAUCUUCUUUAAUGGCCAUUGCAGAUAACCACCACCAGCCCCCCAAAUAUCUUUAUCUGGUAGUGAGCGGACGGGAACACUGUUAAAUGUUAAUGUUAGCCGGUCAAUCACAUUGUUCAACCAGCUCGUUUGCUUGCUUGCAGUAACAGCAACCGGCGCUGCGCUGCCAUAGCAAUUGAAAAUAUAUCGUAGUCUCUGAGUAGUGUUUGCGCCAAUUACGUAACAUACCUUUUUCACUUUUCUUCAAUAAUGUGAAAAGGAAAUUUUGAUUUCCUUUCAUUAUUUUCGAAACUAUUCUAUUUUUGGUGUGAUCGGGUGAUAGAACCCAAAGGAUUUGAAUAGGGAUUUAAAUCAUGUUUCUAGAAUAUUCCUUGACGCCCUACUCUCUCCAGAGUGGUGUGCAUCAAAUCAUGUGAAUUUGAUAAAAUUUCACACCUUGCAUAGAUUUGAAAAAAAUACAUUUUGUUGUUUCUACACGUAUCUGUGGGCUGCCUAUCUUUGGUGUUGUAUAAAUAAUAGACUUAAAUUUUGUUUGUUUUCCCAGUUAUCAUUAUCAGUUCCAAUUAUUAACAUUAACAUACUUCAAUUGUUGUUAUUGUUGUUGGAGGCCAUUGCUGAAUAUGUGUUCUUAUUCAUUUCCAGUACACUUUCAUAACAAUGUAAAAUUGGGCUACCAGACAAUUUGGAAAUAGCUAUGAUGUAGUCCCAUUAAUUGUUGUUUAGUUCCAGAUGUGUCAAAUAUUUGUUGUGGUCCAACUAAAAUCUCUUAUUUUUUAGUAGGUACAGCUACCCAUUGUGGUAUAUGACACUUUUUCAUUAUGUAAUUCCAUUUUUAUCUUUGAGAUACCUACAUGACUAAUUUGCCGCAAUGGAGAAUAUUCUUUUCAUAAAUGCAUAUUUGUGACAAAAAUUGUUACAUAAUAUUGAAAUUGUUUACUAUUUCUAAUUAUAAGCUCAUUUUUUAUUUAUAAAAAAUAAUUGUUUACUAAACAUAAAUAGAAGAUUAUUUGUACUAAAAUAUUUAA